AUACGGGGGGGCAAGCGUUGUUCGGAAUUACUGGGCGUAAAGGGCGCGUAGGCGGACGGGACAGUCUCUCGUGAAAUCCCACGGCUCAACCGUGGAAUUGCGGGAGAUACUACUCGUCUUGAGUCCGGGAGAGGGGUGUGGAAUUCCCAGUGUAGCGGUGAAAUGCGUAGAUAUUGGGAGGAACACCGGUGGCGAAGGCGACACCCUGGACCGGUACUGACGCUGAGGCGCGAAAGCUAGGGGAGCAAACGGGAUUAGAAACCCCAGUAGUCC
rnacentral:rRNA from 1 species